UACAUGUGGGGCAAGCGUUGUUCGGAAUUACUGGGCGUAAAGCGUGCGCAGGCGGUUGUGCAAGACCGAUGUGAAAUCCCCGGGCUUAACCUGGGAAUGGCAUUGGUGACUGCACGGCUAGAGUGUGUCAGAGGGGGGUAGAAUUCCACGUGUAGCAGUGAAAUGCGUAGAGAUGUGGAGGAAUACCGAUGGCGAAGGCAGCCCCCUGGGAUAACACUGACGCUCAUGCACGAAAGCGUGGGGAGCAAACAGG
rnacentral:rRNA from 1 species